rnacentral:rRNA from 1 species
UAAUACGGAGGGUGCGAGCGUUAAUCGGAAUUACUGGGCGUAAAGCGUGCGCAGGCGGUUAUGUAAGACAGAGGUGAAAUCCCCGGGCUCAACCUGGGAACUGCCUUUGUGACUGCAUAGCUGGAGUACGGCAGAGGGGGAUGGAAUUCCGCGUGUAGCAGUGAAAUGCGUAGAUAUGCGGAGGAACACCGAUGGCGAAGGCAGUCCCCUGGGCCUGUACUGACGCUCAUGCACGAAAGCGUGGGGAGCAAACAGGAUUAGAUACCCUGGUAGUCCACGCCCUAAACGAUGUCAACUGGUUGUUGGGUCUUAGCUGACUCAGUAACGAAGCUAACGCGUGAANUUGACCGCCUGGGGAGUACGGCCGCAAGGUUG